GACGAACGCUGGCGGCGUGCUUCACACAUGCAAGUCGAACGAAGUGGCGAACGGGUGAGUAACGCGUAAUCAACCUGCCCUUCAGAGGGGGACAACAGUUGGAAACGACUGCUAAUACCGCAUACUGAAGGAGGGCCUUGCGUCUGAUUAGCGAGUUGGAGGGGUAACGGCCCCCCAAGGAGAUGCUCUGUAGCCGGUCUGAGAGGAUGAACGGCCACAUUGGGACUGAGACACGGCCCAGACACCGACGGGAGGGAGCGGUGGGGAAUCAUCCGCAAUGGACGAAAGUCUGACGGAGCAACGCCGCGGGAGGGAUGACGGCCUUCGGGUUGUAAAGCUCUGUUAAUCGGGACGCGGUACCGGAAUAGAAAGCCACGGCUAACUACGUGCCAGCAGCCGCGGUAAUAC
rnacentral:rRNA from 1 species